rnacentral:rRNA from 1 species
AGUGAACGCUGGCGGUAGGCCUAACACAUGCAAGUCGAACGGCAGCACAGUAAAAUCUUGCUCUUACGGGUGGCGAGUGGCGGACGGGUGAGGAAUACAUCGGAAUCUACUUUUUCGUGGGGGAUAACGUAGGGAAACUUACGCUAAUACCGCAUACGACCUACGGGUGAAAGCAGGGGAUCUUCGGACCUUGCGCGAUUGAAUGAGCCGAUGUCGGGUUAGCUAGUUGGCGGGGUAAAGGCCCACCAAGGCGACGAUCCGUAGCUGGUCUGAGAGGAUGAUCAGCCACACUGGAACUGAGACACGGUCCAGACUCCUACGGGAGGGAGCAGUGGGGAAUAUUGGACAAUGGGCGCAAGCCUGAUCCAGCCAUACCGAGUGGGUGAAGAAGGCCUUCGGGUUGUAAAGCCCUUUUGUUGGGAAAGAAAAGCAGCAGGUUAAUACCCCGCUGUUCUGACGGUACCCAAAGAAUAAGCACCGGCUAACUUCGUG